UACAGAGGUCUCAAGCGUUGUUCGGAAUUACUGGGCGUAAAGGGCUCGUAGGCGGCCAACUAGGUCAGACGUGAAAUCCCUCGGCUUAACCGGGGAACUGCGUCUGAUACUGGAUGGCUUGAGUUCGGGAGAGGGAUGCGGAAUUCCAGGUGUAGCGGUGAAAUGCGUAGAUAUCUGGAGGAACACCGGUGGCGAAGGCGGCAUCCUGGACCGACACUGACGCUGAGGAGCGAAAGCCAGGGGAGCAAAGCGGG
rnacentral:rRNA from 1 species